AUUUGAAAUGGAAUUAGGCACGUGAUAGCACAAGGAGUUGAGGUAUUAUUGUAAGGAUCAAAGCAGAUGAAAAAUCCAGUAUAAUUUAAUUACAGAGGAAUUAAAAUAUCAAGAAAAGGAAAUGUUCAGGAAUCAAGAAAAGCUAGAGAGAAGAAAGCAGAUGUGUAUCAAGUCUGAUGAUUAAUAAGUCAGUCCUUCAGACAGAAUGGCAACAGGCACCUUGAGGUAUGGCACAAGCCAUGGGACCAGAGAUGAUGGAUGAGUCUGAGUAGGUUGACCAUCCAUUCAUUCUGCAUGAUACAACACAUUGUCGCCGUAAUGACUCAGAAGGAGGAAACCCAAAAUGGAAACAAUGCAGUUGGUACAUCUGGUUUUUAUCCCAUCUUCUGAUCUUCUACAGUAUGUCCGAUAAGACGUAACAAGAAAACAUGGUUGAGUUGCUUAUUGGUUUAUGGUCUGGCAAGGUUCUUGCAGCUUCAGAAACAUUUAGGGC